AUUAUCCCUUGUCCAGAGGAAACUGGGCAGUACCAGAAGCACCACCUGUGGCACCCAGAGCUGCUCAGAGGAAGGUCUGAAAAUCACAAACCUCAGACUAACCCCUUCAUUUGAGAAACUGGGGCCCAGAGGGCUGAAGUGACUUUUGCAGUGUCAUGAAAUUGUCAACCAAAGGACUGAAUCCCAGCGCACUGUGCUUUCAGCUGUUUUACCCUAUAUUCCUGAAGGAUGAGUUCUAUAGAAUAGAUUAGCUCCUAUCAGUGGGUAGCCCUCUAGGGAGAGAACUGUCAGAGGGUUUUGUUCACGCCUUGUUUCAAAUGCUGCUGCUCCUUCAGGACUGUGGACAUGGAGACCUGCUUCCUAAGACUUCCCUCCCCACUUGGCAAUCAUCUUGAAUUUGUAUUAGAAGUAAGGAAAUGGGACUGCUUUCUCCAAAUAUUUAUAAUGACUUUAUUGCUCUGAAUUGCCACACAUCAGAGAGAACUUUUAACCAUUAGGGGUCUUGACUUCCUAUUUGUGAAAAGUGGAGUGACUCUGAUCAAGAAGGCUCAACUCCUUUUGGUUGGAGAUCACAGGAAUGGCAUCAUGUCAUGAUGGCCAUAGGGGAGCUACACCAGCUGUACUGUCCCCAGUGGAAAGAGCCAGGACCCAGGACAGGCAGUGACAGCUUCCCAGGUACCCCCUGUCGAAGACCCACUAAGAUACACUUCCUCCAGUGCUGUAGGUGUGGCCUAUUCCCAUUAUGAGGAUCCCAGUCAGGCUCAGCAAUGGCAACACCAGAUUUGCUUCUGGAGUUCCAGCUCGAUCUUCUAGAUGAAGCUGGGACGAUGAAUGGAAAAGAUACAAAGUGAAAAGUUGAGUCACAUGGAGGGGAUCCUCUUGGCCUCCUACAGGAUAUUGAUGCAAGGGAAACUGUCCUGCUGCGGAAGUGGCUCCUGGUCCAGAUUGUGUACCCUGCCAGGUCUUAGAUGGUGACACCAAACCAGGCUCCUGUGCUCUGAGGGUUAACACAGAACCUUCUAAUUGAUCCCCAUAAGGAGGGGGAACAAGAGAGGGACCACCCUUAUCCUGGCUUCUUUUCCACCUGCCUCUAGGAAGCUUAAGCUUCUAGCUUUCCUAAACAAGGAUGGUGUCUACAUUUGUGAACCAGAGAGGAACUCUGCAUGAAGUCUUGAAAGGUGAGUCUUCAUUAGCCAGGAGACAAAGGCAUAUUGGGAAGGAGCGCCUACCAGGCAGAAGGGAAAGCAUGUGCAAAGCGUGAAGAUAGGAAAUCAAGUUCUGUUUGGAACUAAUGGUGGUACAGGUGGCUCAGGUGUAUGUGAAAAGGCAGGAGAUGAAGCUGGAAAGAAGACCCUCUGCACCACACUUUCAGGGUAAAAUCCACUCUCCUUAGUAUGGCAAUUAAGACUCUUCAACCCUCAGGAUUUCCAGAUUGAAAGGCCUUCCUCCCACACAGAUAAAGACACACCCUUAAGCCCCUCAUGAACUUGGAAUAAGACAGAUCUAGGUUUAAAUACAUGCUCUGCAACAUACAACCUACUUGAUCUUGGGAAAGUUGUUUAAAAUCUCUGGACCCCAAUUUUCCUAUCUCUAAAAUGGGAAUUAAGUACAUUUACCUCAAAGAGAUGAUGUGAGGACUUAGUUAUGAGAAAUACAAUAUAGAAGCAACGCUGAGUAGUUAUGCUGCAAGUCACAUGGGAAGUCUUUAAAAAAUAAAUGCAUUUAUAUAUUAAAAACAAACAAACAAAAAAACCCAGACCAAAACCGCAUGUCACUGGGGGAAGGACAGUGAACCCUUCCCAGAGCAUGUGUGAAGACUGACUCUGGCUGGAAAAACGGAGAAGAAAGAAUGCUGUAUACUCCUGUAGGGACAGCAGAAGACUUCCUGGACUCAGAGGAUUAGAGAUUUCCUAACACUCGAGUGAGGGGCAGGAUCACUGCCAACCCCUGCCCAAACCAGGGGUACAGAGCCUGCCUAUGAUCAAGGCUGAGCCAGAAUAACAGAGAGUACAUUUCUUCUCCCCACCAGACUGGGUACUGUCAAGGGAAAGGCAACCACGUUAAGCCAGGAGAGGCGACAAGGCCAUGCAGAGAGACUCUGAGACCCAAGCAUACAGGGAAGGGUGAAAGUGAGGGUGAAAUAGGAACACGGAGAAGAGUCCUCUGUCUAAACAAUACCCACCUUAAGCACGGAAUAACUCUGAAGAAAUUUGAGGCCAAUGGUGAAUUCAGAGUCACCGUAGCAACAAAAAACCCAAACCCAGCUCAAUAACUGACUUUACUGGGUGAACCACCCCUGUCCCCAACCCUGGCCUCCAGCACACAGGAAUGGCCUAGGAGAAGAGGUGUCUCAUUUCUAUGCAUAAGUUCUAUUUGUUUGAGUCUAUACUCUUUUAAACUUUGUGCCUGACAAUAAAUAAAAAAUUAUGAGACAAACACAAAAAAGCAAGAAAAAACAAUCCAUGAUAAAGAGCAAAGUGAACCAUAGAAUCAGACUCAGAGAUAACCCAGAUAUUGGAAUGAUUACAGACAGGGACAGUUAGAGACAUGUGGUAUGUCUUUGAUGGGUCUGGGAUGGUUAAUUUUAUGUGUUAAGUUGACUGGGCUAAAGGGGCCCAGAUAACUGGUAAAUCAUCAUUUCUAUGUAUGUCUUUGAAGGUGUUUCCAGAGAGAAAACUGAUUCAAGAUAGGCUGAGUGAAUAUGGCCCUCACCCCUAACCAGUGUAGGUGGGCAUAAUCUAAUCCACUGAGGACUGCAAGAGGAUGAAAAAAUGGAGGGAGGCUGACUUUGGUCUCUGCUUGAGCUGGGACUCCUGUCUUCCUCAGGCAUCAGCGUUUCCCGUUCUCAGGCCUUUGGUCUUGGACCAGGAUGUUCGUGAAUCUCUCUCUCCAGACUCAGUAAUAGGAAAAUAAACAACCCAAUUAAAAAUGGGCAAAGUUUAAACAUUUCUCCAAAGAAGAUAUUCAGACCUCAAAUGUACGUAUAAAAAGAUGCUCAACAUCCUCAGAUAGUAGGAAAAUUAAAAGUCUAAUGAGGUAACACUAUACAGCUAUUAGAAUUCCUAAAAGAAUAUGACAGUUAUCAAGUGCUGACAAAAAAGUGGAGCAACUAAAACUUGCGUGUAUCGCUGAGAGAGGAUAAAAUAUGGUGCAGACACGUGUUUGGAAAUUUCUUAUAAUGUUAAAAUAGAUUUAUUGUACUACCCAGCAUGAUCGCCACCCAAGAGAAACGAAAACUCAACGUUACACAAAAACCUGUAUGUGAAUAUAUAGAGAAGGUUUAUUCACAACUGCCAAAAACUGGAAGUAAGUCAAAUGUCUUUAAUUUCUAUGGAAACAAACUGGGAUACAUCCAGGUAAUGGAAUACUACUCAGCAAUAAAAAGGAACAAACUUCUGAUAGACACACAAUGUAUGAAUCUAAAAUGUAUUAUGGUAAGCAAAAGAACCUACACUACAAAGGCUUAUAUGACAUUCUGGAAAAAGCAAAACCAUAGGGAAGAGAAUUGAUUAAGGGGUUGGGGCAAAGAUUGACCACGAAGAGACAUGAGAUAAUGUUUUGGGUGAUAGAACUGUUCUACAUCUUGAGUGUGGUAAUGGUCACAUUAUUGUCAAAAGUCACAAAACUGUAGAUUAAAAGCGGUGAAUUUACUGUAUAUAUAUUGUACCUCAAUAAAUUUAAUUAAAGUAAAA
ensembl:lncRNA